rnacentral:lncRNA from 12 species
CGGGCGGGUGGGCUUAAAGGGGACCGCGGGACCUGCCCGGGACGUGACGCCCACUGGCGGCUGAGGAACCAGGGCUGUCGGUUAAAGGCCUCGAUCGCGUUCUGCCAGCGCCGUUCUCUCUGCUCAUUGAAACCACUGGCUCGGCUAACCCAGCAUCCUUGAAGCCUCAGCAUCCUCAGCGCCCGCCCCGCCCUCGUCCACGGUCCCUCCUCCCGCCCACUGGCCCCGCCCACCGGCCCCGCCCAUCCGUCCCUCCUCCCUCGCCCACCGGUGUCCCACUUGCGCUUCGCCCCCCCCCACAGCCCACGCCCCUGCACGAUCGCUCUCCGACCACCCGGUGCAGUGGGGACCCGGACACAGCGGGGACCUGCGGGCUUGGGCGCUUCGGGCCCCUACACUUGGCGGGGGGCGGCCGGAGGCGCCCCAGCAUCAGCCCGGCUGCUGCCCGCGAGCCCCCCCCCCCCAGGCUCCGGGGGCAGGGACGCCCCCGCCUCCACUCCGCAAGGGGCCCCGGGGCUCCUCUCACCGGGACCCUUCCCAGGCCCGCGGGGACCCCUCGAGCCUCCCGCUCCCCUUCGCCAGGCCGGAGCCCCCGGUCUUCCGGCCGCGCGUCCUCGGCCUUUGCAGAGUGAAGACGCUGCUCCUUUCCAGAAACCUCCACGCUGCCCCGUCCCCCCGCCCCUGCGCCUCGCUCCCGUCUCCCUAAAGCUGCUGCUGGAAGUGCCCCCCACCCCACCCCCUCCCCGGGCUCCGGGCAGGUGCAGGUGCAGGUGCGGGUCCCGUGGGCCCAGCGGGUCCUCCGACUCCCGGCGUCUCUCUGCCCGCCCCCUCUCUGUUCCCCACCAGCCCAAAUCCGCGGGGACGUCUCAGGGACCCCAAUGCCCGAGGACCCCUGCUCGGGUGUGCUGGGGCUUCUGUCGCGGGGAGCGGGCGAGAAGCACUGGGCGUCGGACCUAGUUGUUUCAUCGCAGUCGCUCCUUGGCCCGCCUCGAGGUGUCGGAUGUAGCCACAUGGCUUUUUUGAAUUAUUUACUUCAAAUGUGAAGUGCCUCGAGUGUUCAUCAAGUGACGGAUGGAUAAACAGAUGUUGUCUGUGCUCGCCCUGCAGGGUCUUUCAGCCCAAGGACAAAUCCUGCCUGAUUCCCUUGCCCUAAAAUGCCCACAGUGCCGAAACCCAUCUAGACAGAGAGAUUUGUGGUUCCCCCGGGGCUGGGGGAGGUUUGAAGGGAAACUUGGACUAUUCAUGGGUGCGGAUGUUCCUUCUGGUGUGAUAAAAAUGUUCUGGAAUUAAGUGACGGUAAACUACUGAAUUGGGGGCACCUGGUUGGCUAAGUAGAGGAAGCUGUGACUCCACCUCUGGGUGGUGAGUUCAAGCCACAGGUUGGGGGUAGAGAUUACUUAGGAAAAAAAAAAAAACACUGAAUUGUACACUCUAAAAUGGUGAAUUGUAUGGCAUGUGAUUUAAAUCUCCAUUUUAAAAUUUAGAUUCAAUAAAUUAGUAAUUAGUUUCA